rnacentral:misc_RNA from 1 species
GAAAUGCGAUAAGUAAUGUGAAUUGCAGAAUUCAGUGAAUCAUCGAAUCUUUGAACGCACAUUGCGCCCCCUGGCAUUCCGGGGGGCAUGCCUGUCCGAGCGUCAUUGCUGCCCUUCAAGCCCGGCUUGUGUGUUGGGUCGUCGUCCCCUCCGGGGGACGGGCCCGAAAGGCAGCGGCGGCACCGCGUCCGGUCCUCGAGCGUAUGGGGCUUUGUCACCCGCUCGAUAAGGACCGGCCGGGCGCCAGCCGGCGUCUCCAACCUUUUUUUCUCGGGUUGACCUCGGAUCAGGUAGGGAUACCCGCUGAACUUAAGC